rnacentral:rRNA from 1 species
GACGAACGCUGGCGGCGUGCUUAACACAUGCAAGUCGAACGGAAAGGCCCUGCUUUUGUGGGGUGCUCGAGUGGCGAACGGGUGAGUAACACGUGAGUAACCUGCCCUUGACUUUGGGAUAACUUCAGGAAACUGGGGCUAAUACCGGAUAGGAGCUCCUGCUGCAUGGUGGGGGUUGGAAAGUUUCGGCGGUUGGGGAUGGACUCGCGGCUUAUCAGCUUGUUGGUGGGGUAGUGGCUUACCAAGGCUUUGACGGGUAGCCGGCCUGAGAGGGUGACCGGCCACAUUGGGACUGAGAUACGGCCCAGACUCCUACGGGAGGCAGCAGUGGGGAAUAUUGCACAAUGGGCAGAAGCUUGAUGCAGCAACGCCGCGUGCGGGAUGACGGCCUUCGGGUUGUAAACCGCUUUCGCCUGUGACGAAGCGUGAGUGACGGUAAUGGGUAAAGAAGCACCGGCUAACUACGUG